AAAAUUUCAUCAUUGGCACGACACCCCGAGGUUUUUAGGUGAAAGAUAUUUGAUUUAUGUGACAUGUGAACUUCAGUGCAAAAGCAUGUCCCUGUCCCGGAUUUAAAUCACAACCCUGAUUACGUCAGCCUGCUUUAUUCUUAACUGGUCCCCUGUUGUGACAGCUCCCGAGACCAGUUAACGUAAACCCGGGACGGGGGACAUGUUGAAAAUGGAUUAAAAGCAAGUAAGUGUUGAUUUCCUUGUGACAGUUCUGUGCAUUACUGUUAAAUGUUUGAAAACAACUUGUCUAUUGCGUAAAUCCAGGCACAUCUGAGUCGAAACGUCGGUCGAGGCAUAAACCGUCACCGACUCCGGCAUUUACACGUUUUACAGAAUCAAAAUAUGAAUGCUUGCGAAGAGAAGUGGAUGAAGCAUAUGUCUCUCGACUUCUCUAAAGAGAAUAUUUACAUGUCUAUCUUAUAUCGGGGUUUCCACUGUAUCCAUGUCUGUCUUAUACAAAAAAAAACUGUAUCGGGGUUUCCACUGUAUCAGUGCCUAUCUUUAGACAUCCACCGCAAGGAUCCUUUACUGCUUAUGGCAAAAGCUCAAGUAAACGAUAUACUAGGCUAGUGUAGAAUGUUUGAAAUAUAUUGCCUUUGUGCUUACGCCCAGUAUUGGUAAACGUCCAAGUUUAACGAAGUUAUGUUCUUAUUCACCAGUUCAACCGAACUUAAAUCAUUUAUAAAAUAAAACACAAACAUCUGUAUGUAGGAUGAACUCGCAUGCACUAGUGCAACAUACUUUUCUAAUAAAUACAUAUGUACAAAAUCAAUCUUUCAUUUGACUUCAAAAAACCCGUUCUACAAAAGAAAA